rnacentral:rRNA from 1 species
UACGUAGGGGGCAAGCGUUGUCCGGAAUUAUUGGGCGUAAAGGGCGCGUAGGCGGAUCAUUAAGUCUGGUGUGAAAACCCAGGGCUCAACCUUGGGAUUGCAUUGGAAACUGAUGAUCUUGAGUGCAGGAGAGGAAAGUGGAAUUCCACGUGUAGCGGUGAAAUGCGUAGAGAUGUGGAGGAACACCAGUGGCGAAGGCGACUUUCUGGACUGUAACUGACGCUGAGGCGCGAAAGCGUGGGGAGCAAACAGG